UACAUGCUGGUACCAUAUGUUUCCAGGUUAAGAGAAAAUCUCACACCAAGUCUAAAUUCGGCCACAUCUCCAGAAGUCAUCUCAUUUCUUCCCUUUUGCCUCAGUCACCUUCCUUCCCUCAAUUGUCUAAGGAGCCUGCAUUUCAUCGCGGGAAAUGUAUGUGCAGACACAAUGAACACGGAAGUCUAGAAGAGGUCAUCAAACCAUGUCAUUUCACAGCCAUGGGAACUGAGGCCUAGAGAUACUUGAAAAAUGAAAAGAAAUCACAGCCAGAGCUUCUAGUCCUCAGUGAUUGAACUUAAAGAAGAUAGAUCAUCACUAGAAAUAGAGUGAAGCCUGUGGAUUCUCUGGUGUAUCCAAAGGACUCUGGUGUCGAAGGGCUAACUUGGAGUACAGGAAAUUACAGGUUGGAGGAGUGGCAUGAGAAGUGGAUAAAGUAAAUUUCCUGUGACUUUGGAUUUGAAACUGCACAAUGCAUGUCCUCCUAUGACUGCAGGAUGGUGGAAAGUGCUGGCUAAUAACACCGCCUUGCUCAUGUCAG